AGCGGCGGACGGGUGAGUAACACGUGGGCAACCUGCCCUGCAGAUUGGGAUAACUCCGGGAAACCGGGGCUAAUACCGAAUAACAUUGAAGGCUUCAUGGCUUUCUUUUGAAAGGCGGCUUCGGCUGUCACUGCAGGAUGGGCCCGCGGCGCAUUAGCUAGUUGGUGAGGUAACGGCUCACCAAGGCCACGAUGCGUAGCCGACCUGAGAGGGUGAUCGGCCACACUGGGACUGAGACACGGCCCAGACUCCUACGGGAGGCAGCAGUAGGGAAUCUUCCGCAAUGGACGAAAGUCUGACGGAGCAACGCCGCGUGAGUGAAGAAGGUUUUCGGAUCGUAAAACUCUGUUGUCAGGGAAGAACAAGUACGGGAGUAACUGCCCGUACCUUGACGGUACCUGGCCAGAAAGCCACGGCUAACUACGUGCCAGCAGCCGCGGUAAUACGUAGGUGGCAAGCGUUGUCCGGAAUUAUUGGGCGUAAAGCGCGCGCAGGCGGCCUUUUAAGUCUGAUGUGAAAGCCCCCGGCUCAACCGGGGAGGGUCAUUGGAAACUGGAAGGCUUGAGUGCAGAAGAGAAGAGCGGAAUUCCACGUGUAGCGGUGAAAUGCGUAGAGAUGUGGAGGAACACCAGUGGCGAAGGCGGCUCUUUGGUCUGUAACUGACGCUGAGGCGCGAAAGCGUGGGGAGCGAACAGGAUUAGAUACCCUGGUAGUCCACGCCGUAAACGAUGAGUGCUAAGUGUUGGGGGGUUUCCGCCCCUCAGUGCUGCAGCUAACGCAUAA
rnacentral:rRNA from 1 species